UCGACGUAUUAAUAAAAAUACAGAUAUUUUUAUUAUUGUUAAAAAUAUGACCAGUGGAUAUUUCCGGUUCUUCACCUAAACUAGUCCUUCACAAGUAAAACGACACGUUUCCAUAGCAAAUCGAUGGCAACUGAGAAGGUAUUUAAAACUACGUCGUUGUGAUUGAUAUUCACUGACAUCUUAAAACAUUGGUUUCGUUACAGUCAGCCAAACUUUCCAACGCGCCUCUGUUUCAAAGACUUGAACCAUUCUCUUUGCCUUCUUCUUCACAUUCAAUUUGCGUUGAAACUCCUCCUUAAGCUUGUCCCAAGCUUGUUUUGGUGAAGCACAAGCCAUGAUCCUUAUGAAGAUCACAUUGGAUGCACCAUUUUGGAUGCUGGACAUAGCCUUAAACUUCUUGGCACACUCGUCAUUAUGCUGCCUAAUCUGAGCAAUGGCAUCCAAAAUCUCAUCUGCGGUAUGGCUAUGUGGCGAUUCCCACUUGCUAAGUGCCUUGAAACUCCUCCUUGAGCUUGUCCCAAGCUUGUUUUGGUGAGUCACAAGCCAUGAUCCAUGUGAAGAUCACGUCGGACACGCCAUUUUGGAUGCAGGACAUAGCCUUAAACUUCUUGGCACACUCCUUGUUAUGCUGCUUAAUCUGAGAAAUGGUAGGUGGAAUUUUACAAUAUUUCUUAGAUUCCAUGACCUUUUUAUGAAUAUUACUAUGCUUUAUUAUCUUUGACAUGUUCCUUUUUAUGUGGUUGAUCUAUCUACACAAUCCAUUAUGGAAUCAUCUUAAGUUAUUGAUAAAUUGUUAUCUUAGUCAUUGCUAUCAAAGUAGGUUUCAAUUAUUACCAAAUUGAUUUUCAGUUUUUGGUGAGCUGAAGGGAGGGAGUGUGGGAGUGAUUAUUAGCUUGGCAAUUUAGGAAUAUAACUGUGUAUUCCUGGAACAUGGUUUCCCUCUUUAUCUUACUCACAAAUAUAUGGAUCCCAUCUACGAGUUUCAGAAAUCAGAGCAUAAGAAACAUUGUGCCAUGGGAGUACUUAAUUAUUACCUAUCAUUUUGGUUUUUCUAUUCCCCUUUCUGUUACUUCAUGGUCUUUUAUUAAGUUAAAAUCUGCAUGGUAGUUUCAAGGCUUGGAGGUUCAAAAUCCUAAUUUUGAGGUUGAAAAUACUUGACUUUAUUCUUGUUUAUGUUUUUUUUCCUUCACAUUUGCUGUGGAGGCAUUAAAAUGCUCGGUCAGUUGGCCAAACUCUUGUUACGAAUUUUUAAACCUAGUUGAAUUUUCGGAUUGUUCUCUUCCUUGUAAAAUGGUUUGGCAUUUUAUGUAGGUUGACAUGCUUACAGCUGUCAAUUUUUGAAGUUUUAAAUGGUUCGUUUUGAAGGGAUUUGGCAACAUAAAUCUGCAAUUUUAGAAAAUAAUUCAAAAGUUGAACCAGGAACUCAAGGCCGCUAAAGACCUAGACAGAUACCAGAAAGGCAGAAACCAAAAAGAAUGCCCUCUAAUUUUGCACAAUUCACCAAUUUACUACACUUUCAGAAAGUGAAAGAGAAAAUACUAUCCCUUGUUUCAUGUUCUACAUUUAUUUAAAUAUUCUCUUACCAAAUCCUUUUAAGAAUAAAUGAAUUUGCACAUGUGGAAUAUACAUUCAACAUAACUCAAACUCCUUUUACUAGUAGUUAUCAUGCAGGAUUAUUUCUUCUACUUUUAUGAAUAAAAACUAAAAAGUACCUAAGGCACCUGUUGCAACCACCAAGAUUCAGAAUAUGAAAUGAUUUGUACCUUGGUUUAGUAUAACCAAUAAACUAGUGGGGAUAUUUUUUGGGGAAACAUUUAUGGCAAUGCGUAUGGAUUAACACUUUUGUCUAUUGGAAAUAUUUUAUGUUGCAGAAUAUAUCCUUUUCAAGUGGAUUUCGCGAAUCUGUCAUAGAAUCUCAGUUUUAUAUUUUCCUUUGUUCUUGAUUAUUUGCACAGGAAGAAAGUAGGGAAGACAUUGAAAUCAUAUUUAAUUAUAGUCUAGUAAUGAAGUUGAGUACUGGAAAGCCCAAUGUACACCUUUCUAGUUUCAUGGUGAGUCGGCAGUUAGACUUGUUAUGUUUCUGGAUAGAUUGUGAUCAAUUGUAUUUCUCAUUUUACUGGAUGCCAAGGACUAGAAGUCUUUAUAUUUAAAAGUUUCAAGUUUAAGAUUAGUAUAUUCCCUCACUAAUAUAGGGCACGCUGACAUUCGGUUCUGACUUUUGAGCAAUCUCAGGCUGGAUUAAGCUUUUAUGAAGCUUUAUUUCAUGAGAAUUUGAUCAAAUAGCAGCUAAUAGUUUCUAUUGCAUAAAAGAAUUACAUAUCAUGCUUUCAGUUUAUGAAUGUAUAUGUGUGUUUAUGUGCAUGCUCAUGCAAUUACCAAUGCUGUUUUAUCUUCUAAUACUUUGGGGCAGUAUGAUUUUCCAGGCAAUGACAAUGUUAAUGCUGUCCGUGCCUUUAGGUUAUUCAUAUGGUAUUCAAGUUUUAUCAGACGGUUGCAACAUUUGCAAAAGGUCAUAUUAUCAGGUAACCAAAGAUUUUGGUUAGAAAUCAUGUUCUUUAUCUUCUGCAGAUUUCUUUUGUAUAAUUUGGAUCCCCUUGGAUUUUGUUCACCCACAGUAAUUCAAAUUCAAAUCUAUGGCCACAGACAGGUUUAUAUCAUGGUGCCAUGGACUCAUUUUGCAGAAAAAUCCAUUCUAUCAUCUCAAAUGCUCCAUUAGGAUCUUGUAGGGAAUUUUAGAAGGAAGGGAAAAUUCUAAAAAUACUCAAAGAAUUAUAAUCCUGUGCUACAAAUCUAAAACCAUUUUCAUGUUUUUGAAUUUCAAAGAUGAGACAAAUGAAAAACCUGAAAAAGUUUCAAAUGUCAACUUUCCUUUAAGAGAGAGUUUUAAGUGUCAUAAUCUUUUAACUUUUAAUCUUCUGCACGUAUAAUCCAUUGUAAUUUUUAAUCUAUCCUAUCAUAACAGGAAAUGUAUGUAGUAAUUGAUAGAAAUUUUAGUUCGAAUUUUUCUUUUCUUCAUUAUACUUAAUAAAAAAGGUUUAGUUGCGGAGUUGUGAUUCUUCAUUUAUAAGAUCAACAAAUAUAUAUAUAUAUAUAUACACACACACACACACACACACAUUUGCAUUAUAACUUCUGUUUUAUAAAUAAUGAAAGCAAAUUUGUUAUUCCAACUAUACCUCUAUAUAUGAAGAUAGAAAAAUUCUAAAGAAAAGUGGCAGAAAGCGUUUUUAGGGUUUAGCGAAAUUCUCAGGAUCCAUGAGUUAUAAUAGUUAGAAGGAUACUUCUGGUUAUAUCUGAUGAAUGUUGUGUUUCUAUGACUUGUUCACUAACAUAUUAAGACUGUUUUUCAAUUCUGAUUAGUAGAUAUUAGAAAAGAUUCACAAAACUGUUAAAUUUAUCCUCGUUGAGGCUUAUUGAAUUGGAAAUUGUAUAAUACCGUUGGUUUUGGUUAUGGUAAUAUGUAAUCACCCUGAAAACCAGAAAAUACAAAGAACACAAAGGGUGGUAUGAGAGUUUUUGCUGGAAAAGCUCUCACACACUGAUAUUUCUUUCAAAGGAUACAUAUGCAAUACAAAAACAAAGUUUCAAAGUAAUUGCCUAUCUAUCAACUUCAAAGUACAAGUUGUCUCCCGCUAGCUCACUUAACAGAAUGGAUAAUCCCUAAAAUACUCAGUCACAACAAAUAUUAUAAUUUAAAAAACAUAAAAAGUCAUCAAAAGAUCACCAAAGUCAUGUUUGUAAUUUCCUAGUAGCAGAGUCAAUCAUUAUGUUUAACACUCCUUGGUUGCUUUGCAGCAAACUCUAAUUUUCUUCUGUAAUUUCCCAAAUUGGACCUUUAGAAUAGACAUGACAAUUUGUUUUUUUGUGUCAUAAUCACGUCAUGUCUAAACAAGGUAUUUGGAGUUACAUGGCUAAAUACGACGUGAUUAAUUAAAUGUAUCAAGAUCCUAAACAUGAAUGCAUAUACUUUCAUUAUACAUGUUCCUUGAUUAACAUGUUUAAAACAAGUUAGCUUAAAUUUUAUAUGACAUAAUUUUAGCACGGUUAAAUAUGGUUAACACAAUUUAAUAACAUACAUAAAAAUUAAACCUUAACUCCAUUUAAAAUUAACAAAAUAAUAGUAUCCAUAAAUAGGUUAAAAAUCUUCAAAAAAUGUUUUAUCAACAUCAAUCAUAAUAAACAUGUUACAUUAUACAGAUCGAUAUGGUAACACGGUAUGACAUGAUUAAUUAAACAUGUUAAACAAGUCGUAAUCGUAUUAAGUAUUUUUAUCAUGUUUAAGAUACAAAAUUGUCGUGUUUUAAAUGUGUCAACACUAUUAAAAUAUGAAACACGAUUGGGCUAAACCCACACAUGCUUUGUUCCAUGUUGUGUUUAAAAUUGCAAGUCUUUUUAGGUAGAGCCUUAGUAAAAAUGUUAGCUAACUGAAUUUCUGAACUGCAAUGAUUCAAUGCAAUCUCCUUGUCCUACUGCAGUUCUCUAACAAAGAGAAAGUUGAUCUUGAACUGCUUGGUUCUCCCAUGAAACAUUGGAUUCUUUGCAAUUGCAACAGAAGAUUGAUUAUCACACCUUAUCUUUGUUGCUUCUUCUUGUGUCAGAUUCAAAUCACACAUAAGUAUUCUCAACCAAAUUGUUUGGUUGAUAGCAGUGAUUGCUGCAAUGUACUCUGCUUCUGCAGUGUACUAUGUCCUGCUUCUUUGAGUUCCAAGCAAAUUAGUGUUUGCAGAAAAGCAACCAAGGAAUGUUAAACAUAAUGGCUGACUCUGCUUCUAGGAAAUUGCAAUAAUGACUUUGGUGACAUUUUGAUGACAUUUUUUUUUUAAAUUAUAGUAUUUGUUGUGACUUUGAGUGUUUUAGAGAUGAUUCACUAUGUUUAGUUAGGUACUUUGAAACUUUGUUUUUGGCUUGAAAUGCACUUUCUGUCACCUCUUCUUCUUUGCUUGCUCUUCUUUUUUCUUGAGCAUAAAGAGCAUUGAUCAGUUCUGACAAGGAUAUGCUGGCAAGUCUCUUGAAUCUUCAAUGGUUGAAAUCUCAGACUCAUUUCUCAGGAAGAGCGGUAAUAACUUUCUCAACAACCAUCUUCUCUGAGAAUUUAUCUUGAAGCAACCUGAUGUUGUUGACAAUAGCCAUGAUCCUAUUAGAAUACUGCUUCACAGUCUCACUGUCUUUUAUAUUCAGAUUCCGAAAAUCUCUUCUGGGAUUAAUAAUCUGCCACUGUCUCGUCUUCUCAGUGCCUUGAAGCUCCUCCUUAAGCUUGUCCCAAGCUUGUUUUGGUGAGUCACAAACCAUGAUCCUUGUGAAGAUUACAUCAGAUACACCAUUUUGGAUGCAGGACAUAGCCUUAAACUUCUUGGCACACUCCUCAAUAUGCUGCUUAAUCUGAGCAAUGGUAGGUAGAAAUUUACAAUAUUUAUUGGAUUCCAUGACCCUUUUAUGAAUAUUACUAUGCUUUAUUAUCUUUGACAUGUUCCUUUUUAUGUGCUUGAUCUAUCUACACAAUCCUUUAUGGAAUCAUCCUAAGUUAUUAAUAAAUUGUUACCUUAGUCAUUACUAACAAAUUAGGUUUCCGUUAUUACCAAAUUGAUUUUCAGUUUUCCCUGGGCUGGGGGGAGGGAGUGUGGGAGUGAGGGAGUGAUUAUUAGCUUGACAAUUUAGGAAUAUAACUGUGUAUUCCUGGAACAUGGUUUCCCUCUUUAUCUUACAAAUAUAUUGAUCCCAUCUACGAGUUCAGAAAUCAGUUAGUAAGAAAAUUGUGCCAUGGGAGUUCUUAAUUAUGACCUGUCAUUUUGGCUUUUCUAUGAUGUUAUCAUAUUAUCUAAAUAAAUUAAUUACUACUUUCUAUUCCCCUUUCUAUUACUUCAUGGUCUUUUAUUAAGUUAAAAUCUGCAUGGCAGUUUCAAAGCUUGGAGGUUCAAAAUCCUACUUUUGAUGUUGAAAAACUUGACUUUAUUCUUGUUUAUGUUUUUUCCCCUUCACAUCUGCUGUGAAGGCAUUAAAAUGCUUGGUCAGGAGGCCAAACUCUUAUUAAGAAUUUUUAAACCUGGUUGAAUUUUCGGAUUGUUCUCUUCCUUGUAAAAUGGUUUGGCAUUUUAUAUAGGUUGACAUGCUAACAGCUGUCAAUUUUUUAAGUUUUAAAUGUUUCAGUGGAGGGAUUUGGGAACAUAAAUUUGCAAUUUUAGAAGAUAAUUCAAAAGUUGAACCAGGAACUUAAGGCAGCUAAAGACCUAGACAGAUACCAGAAAGGCAGAAACCAAAAAGAAUGCCCUCUAAUUCUGCACAAUUCACCAAUUUACUACACUUUCAGAAAGUGAAAGAGAAAAUACUAACCCUUGUUUCAUGUUCUACAUUUAUUUAAAUAUUCUCUUACCAAAUCCUUUUAAGAAUAAAUGAAUUUGCACAUGGAGAUUAUAUGAGUGGCCUUAUCGUUUUCAUGGGUAUCAACAGUAUCCAUGAAUGAUAAGGCUCACAAGUUUUUGAAUUGUUUUAGUUUUUGUGUAGAUAGGGUUGUACAUUUCCAUGUGCAAAAUACUUAUGUUCUUAUUCUAAUAUGUUACUGUUAAUCUUGCCACCAAUGUGGAAUAUACAUUCAACAUAACCCGAACUCCUUUUACUAGUAGUUAUUUUGCAGGAUUAUUUCUUUUACUUUUAUGAAUAAAAACUAUAAAGUGCCGAAGGCACCUGUUGCAACCAUCAAGGUUCAGAACAUGGAAUGAUUUGUAUCUUGGUUUAGUAUAACCAAGAAACUAGUGGGGAUAUUUUUGGAGAAACAUUUAUGGCAAAGCAUAUGGGAUUAACACUUUCGUCCAUCGGAAAUAUUUUAUGUAGCAGAAUAUAUCCUUUCGAAGUUGAUUUACCAAUUCGGUCAUAGAAUCUCAGUUUUAUAUUUUCCUUUGUUCUUGAUUAUUUGCUCACGAAGAAAGUAGGAAGACAUUGAAAUCAUAUUUAAUUAUAGUCUAGUAGUGAAGUUGAGUACUGGAAAAGCCCAACAUACACUUUUCUAGUUUCAUGGUGAGUCAGCAGUUAGAGUUGUUAUGUUUCUGUAUAAAUUGUGAUCAAUUAUAUUUCCCAUUUUAUCAGACUUCCUUACUAGAAAACUUGCUAUUUAAAAGUUUCCAGUUUAAUAUUAGUAUUUUCCCUUACUAAUAUAGGGCACGCCGACAUUCGGCUCUGACUUUUGAGCAAUCUCAGGCUGGAUUAAGCUUUUAUGAAGCUUUAUUUCAUGAGAAUUUGAUCAAAUAGCAGCUACUAGUUUCUACUUCUUAAAAGAAUUACAUAUCAUGCUAUUGGUGUAUGAAUGGAUAUGUAUGUGUAUGUGUAUGCACAUGCAAUUGCCAACGCUGCUUUAUCUUCUAAUACUUUGGGGCAGCAUGAUCUUCCAAGCCAUGACAA